GGGCAGGAGGCACGCGCGCGGCUGAGGCGAGGUCGCUCGGCGCAGCUGUUGCGGGGCCAUGGCGGGGACCGCGCUCAAGAGGCUGAUGGCCGAGUACAAACAAUUAACACUGAAUCCUCCGGAAGGAAUUGUAGCAGGCCCCAUGAAUGAAGAGAACUUUUUUGAAUGGGAGGCAUUGAUCAUGGGCCCAGAAGACACCUGCUUUGAGUUUGGUGUUUUUCCUGCCAUCCUGAGUUUCCCACUUGAUUACCCGUUAAGAGUCCAUUACUUCCUUUCUUCCUUCAUAUUUUACAGGCAGAUGCUUUUCUUAUAAUCUAAUUACAUCUUUUCAUUUGUUAUAUAUUACAAACCAUCACACUUAGAAAUACUUCCAGGAAAUGCUUUUUUGAAGUGUGAAUUAAUAAGAAAUGGGGUAAAUAGAAAAGAAAUUUAUUGCUGAUUGGCCAGGUGCGGUGGUUCGUGCCUGUAAUCCCAGCUCUUUGGGAGGCCAAGGCAGGUAGAUCACAAGGUCAGGAAAUUGAGACCAUCCUGGCUAAUACAGUGAAACCCCAUGUCUGCUAAAAUUACAAAAAAUUAGCUGGGCGUGGUGGUGCACGCCUGUAGUCUCAGCUACUCAGGAGGCUGAGGCAGGAGAAUCGCUUGAACCCGGGAGGCAGAGGUAGCAGUGAGCUGAAGUCCCGCCACUGCACUCCAGCCUGGGCAACAGAGCGAGACUCAGUC
rnacentral:lncRNA from 10 species